CCGGCAUGAGCGCAGCUGAUGCAGCACGCCGCGUGAGGGAUGACGGCCUUCGGGUUGUAAACCUCUUUUAGCAGGGAAGAAGCGAGAGUGACGGUACCUGCAGAAAAAGCGCCGGCUAACUACGUGCCAGCAGCCGCGAUAAUAA
rnacentral:rRNA from 1 species